rnacentral:rRNA from 1 species
AGAGUUGAUUAUGGCUCAGGAUGAACGCUGGCGGCAGGCUAAUACAUGCAAGUCGAACGGUAAGGUCCGAAGUGGCAACACGGAGGAUACACGAGUGGCGCACGGGUGCGUAACGCGUAUGCAACCUGCCCCCGACCGGGACAAAACAGCUGGAAACGGCUGCUAAUAUCCCAUGGUCAUGCGGAAGGGCAUCCUUCUUCAUGUAAAGAUUCAUUGGUCGGGGAUGGGCAUGCGUAUUAUUAGGUAGUUGGCGGGGUAACGGCCCACCAAGCCGACGAUGAUUAGGGGUCCUGAGAGGGUUAACCCCCACACUGGAACUGAGACACGGUCCAGACUCCUACGGGAGGCAGCAGUAGGGAAUAUUGGGCAAUGGGAGCAAUCCUGACCCAGCCAUGCCGCGUGAAGGAAGACGGCCCUAUGGGUUGUAAACUUCUUUUGCCGCAGAGUAAACCCGGUCACGAGUGGUCGGUUGAGAGUAUGCGGCGAAUAAGUAUCGGCUAACUCCGUGCCAGCAGCGGC